UCAGCGGCGGGAGCGGGAGGCGGCGCGCCAGGCCGGCGGGGGCCGGGUGCGGUGACCUGCCGCCAGGUCUGUGGCAGCGGGUCGGGGGGGGGGGGGGUGUCUAGGCGGGGAUGAGGCAGGCGGCUCCCUCCCACGGCCCCGCGGCUGGAAGCGCUCGCUGAGCUGCCCCGCGGGUUCCCCUCUCGCCGGCGCAGAUGAGGGGCUGCUGCCGGGGCUGAAGCCCACGGGCACGGCCCGGUGUGGGCACGGCCCGGUGUGGGCACGGCCCCGUCCCCGCAGGCGUCCCUCAGCCUCGCUCCUCUGCGGGUCAGCCGCAGACACCGAUUUCUCCGAAUGCCUUCCUACCUCAGGAGCCUAAAUAUUACGCCCGCGUUCUGUACAGGGAUACCUGGCGCGUCACGCGGUUUAUCUCGAAAGUUUUGCCUUGCCAGUUCUAAAUCCUCAGCCUUACUUGUCCGACGCCGAGUGCUCGGGACGGAGGAGCACGUCCUGCCUACCGGUGCCCGCGGCAGGUGGCUGGUUUCGGCUACAGGAGUAACAGCGCCGAGCCCUCGCGUCCGUGGUUUUCAUGCACCAAGGCAGGUAACAACAUUUCGUCUUCGAGGAUGAUGAUGGGGAGCCGUACAGAGUUCUGGAAGUGCGUUUGAAAUGCUAUCUCCUCCUCCCCUUUAAAAAAAAACCCAAACCAUACUUUCUAGGAAAAAAAUUAACAAUAUACUUUUUCAAUGUCAGAUCAGAUGGCUCAGCAGAACUGACUUUCCCUCUUCUGUCAGAAAAAUGCGUAAAGUAAGAGCAUAGCGUGUAGUUGCUCCGGCACAAAACCAGCCAUUUAAUUUUAUGUAUCUCUGGUGAAUUAUUUUUUAUUAGCACAUGGAAUUAUGCAAACAUAAAUAAUAAACAGAACAUCAUGAAGUCACAUCAAUGAAGGAUUCAUUCUUAAUGUAUGUUCUCAACCCUGCAUGGAGUGGUGGAAAGAGCAUCACAUAAAAAGACAUGAAAGAAGAAACACUGACAUUUAGUAAAGGUGAAUUAUUCUUCCAACUUAUCUCAGUAAAAAUCAAAUCUUGACUCCUUUAUGUUGCUUUACACCCUUUUCUCAGAACUACAGCGUUAAUGAAAGCCCUUUGCAACAUUAAGCAGUGAAACUUGCCUACCGUGUAUUCACACAAUCUGUAUAUGAAUAUAAUACCAUGCUUUCUCAGGUUUUCUAGUGUAAUAAAAUCAAUCGAUGUGUAUUCAAGCUAUAGAAAUAAA